GACGAACGCUGGCGGCGUGCCUAAUACAUGCAAGUCGAGCGAGCAGAACCAGCAGAUUUACUUCGGUAAUGACGCUGGGGACGCGAGCGGCGGAUGGGUGAGUAACACGUGGGGAACCUGCCCCAUAGUCUGGGAUACCACUUGGAAACAGGUGCUAAUACCGGAUAAGAAAGCAGAUCGCAUGAUCAGCUUAUAAAAGGCGGCGUAAGCUGUCGCUAUGGGAUGGCCCCGCGGUGCAUUAGCUAGUUGGUAAGGUAACGGCUUACCAAGGCGAUGAUGCAUAGCCGAGUUGAGAGACUGAUCGGCCACAUUGGGACUGAGACACGGCCCAAACUCCUACGGGAGGCAGCAGUAGGGAAUCUUCCACAAUGGACGAAAGUCUGAUGGAGCAACGCCGCGUGAGUGAAGAAGGUUUUCGGAUCGUAAAGCUCUGUUGUUGGUGAAGAAGGAUAGAGGUAGUAACUGGCCUUUAUUUGACGGUAAUCAACCAGAAAGUCACGGCUAACUACGUGCCAGCAGCCGCGGUAAUACGUAGGUGGCAAGCGUUGUCCGGAUUUAUUGGGCGUAAAGCGAGCGCAGGCGGAAGAAUAAGUCUGAUGUGAAAGCCCUCGGCUUAACCGAGGAACUGCAUCGGAAACUGUUUUUCUUGAGUGCAGAAGAGGAGAGUGGAACUCCAUGUGUAGCGGUGGAAUGCGUAGAUAUAUGGAAGAACACCAGUGGCGAAGGCGGCUCUCUGGUCUGCAACUGACGCUGAGGCUCGAAAGCAUGGGUAGCGAACAGGAUUAGAUACCCUGGUAGUCCAUGCCGUAAACGAUGAGUGCUAAGUGUUGGGAGGUUUCCGCCUCUCAGUGCUGCAGCUAACGCAUUAAGCACUCCGCCUGGGGAGUACGACCGCAAGGUUGAAACUCAGAGGAAUUGACGGGGGCCCGCACAAGCGGUGGAGCAUGUGGUUUAAUUCGAAGCAACGCGAAGAACCUUACCAGGUCUUGACAUCUAGUGCCAUCCUAAGAGAUUAGGAGUUCCCUUCGGGGACGCUAAGACAGGUGGUGCAUGGCUGUCGUCAGCUCGUGUCGUGAGAUGUUGGGUUAAGUCCCGCAACGAGCGCAACCCUUGUUAUUAGUUGCCAGCAUUAAGUUGGGCACUCUAAUGAGACUGCCGGUGACAAACCGGAGGAAGGUGGGGAUGACGUCAAGUCAUCAUGCCCCUUAUGACCUGGGCUACACACGUGCUACAAUGGGCAGUACAACGAGAAGCGAGCCUGCGAAGGCAAGCGAAUCUCUGAAAGCUGUUCUCAGUUCGGACUGCAGUCUGCAACUCGACUGCACGAAGCUGGAAUCGCUAGUAAUCGCGGAUCAGCACGCCGCGGUGAAUACGUUCCCGGGCCU
rnacentral:rRNA from 1 species